rnacentral:lncRNA from 1 species
UCGUCGUUGUAGAGGUCAGACAUAAACCAAACGAUUAUGCCCCAAACUCCAGUCUUAUAGUGUGAGGGUGGCGGAUCUAGAUUGUUAUUGCUCCAAUUUGUAAGACAACAUCUCCAAUCCAAAAGGGACUAAACCCAUAUUUUAAUACCCUAAAAUUGACUUUGGCCCCUCAAAUAGCUUUAUUUUCCUCUAAGUGUGUAAUCCUAAAAAAUUUAGCAGCAUAACAACUACUAUAUGUAUUAUCUAUUUAGAACAGUUGUUUUACUUUCAAUUAUUUUUGGACUACUUUUGUUUAUACUAGCUUC